CUCGCAUAAAUUGGUCACGUUGUCAUUUUUGGCAGUUGAGAGAAAAGUUUAAACACGAAAGACUUGUCCAGAGUGCAGAGUCAAUGUAUUUGUUUAAUACAUCGUAUCAUUUGGUUUCGAGCAAAUGCACAACUAAAGAAGUCGUGAUUGAGAGACUGUGAGAGGUAUUCGAUUCCCUAAAUCGUUACCAAUACCAAUCUGGAAAAGAAUCACGGUUCGAUAUUCUGUAACUCAUUAAAGAACCCCCGAUUAGAAAGAGAACAAAUCUUGUUGAUGUUGAUAAACCCACGAGUUACAAUAGGACUUUGUUUUGCGCUGAUAAAUAGUAAUUUGUCAUCACUAAAGUGUCAGUAGUAUAUUAUAUCUGUUCACGACAGGCAAGGUUUGAGUUUAAAGAUAAUGUUGAUAUUGACAACAAAGUUGCAUUUGUAUACUCGACACAUUUCUAUAAUAAAAUACCAAAAUGGCUGCAGCGGGAAGUUCAUCACAGAACAAAGCAUCUGACUUCAGUUCAUCAGUUCACAAAGGAGCUACAUUUAUUGGAACAUUGCACAAAGGACCAGAAUCAUCAUACAAGUAUUUUUGUUUGGUGUGUGAGGAGAAUGGUUUGGACCAUGAGGCUUUCUUUUAUUGCCAGGAGUGUCACAAGAGUUUUUGCAACCAUUGUGUGGAGAUCCAUAAGCAGCUGUAUACGAAACACACUGUUUUAGGGACAGAGAGCUUGGAACGGUGCUCUGUCAUCAUGGCAACCAUGGAUUCACCAGAACAUUGCAAGGAACACGCGGAUAAAAAACUGGAAUUGUUUUGUGAGGACCAUGAUACGUUGAUAUGUUAUAGAUGUCUUCUUAAAAGCCAUAAGUAAGUUUGUACUUUUUGCAGUCCGUAUUGAAACUCCAUAAUGAUGCAAGGACAAUUUUAGUUAUUUUAACACUAUGUUAUGUUGAUAUAACCGUUACAACGAAAGGGUGCACGUACACGCUGGUGUGCGUUUCUGUAUGUGCAUUAGUACAUCCCAGCCGCACCGCACUGUUUUUUAAUAUGUUUGUUUUGGAUUUAAAAAUAACAAACAGAUAGCAUCAAGAGGAUAUAUCAGUGAUUUUUUUUGCUUUUUUUUCUUACAGCCUGUGCCUUUUGGAUUGGGAAAAUUAGCGCGAUAAACCAUGAAAUUGGGAAAAAUUGCGCGAUAAACCAUGAAAUUGGGAAACAUUAUAAAUAUGAUUAUAAGAACAGAAUUACAAUUAUUAAAGUAUGCUUGACAGCAUUUUUAUAUUAUAAAGUACUAAUUUAAUGUGUUCUUACAAUGAAGACAAUGUUAAGUUAAUAUCCUUCCACAUUCAUAUUGAACUUGCAAUAAUCUAUAUAGAUUCUUAAAUAUACCAUUUAAUCAUAACCUCUUUAACAGUAAGAAUUUAAUUCAGUACUCUUUUAAAUUAAAUAUCAUAUGGUGAAAACAUUAACACAUAUUUAUAAAAAAAAACGCUUAAGUGGUCUUGCUAUGUUAAUGAUGUAUUAUAUGGAGUUAAAAUAAUUUAUUUCAUUUCUUUACCUUUCAACAUCUUGCACUUCAAUGCUAUUUCAGUAAACUGUAAAGCGUGACAAACAUAAUAAAGCAGAAUAUGUAAUGAAUCUGAUUUAACACAGAUCCACUAACAUAUAAAUCAUAUCAUGUUUGUCUCUUUCCAUUUUCGAACGAUACUCAUCUUAAAUGCAUUAACUUUGUGAGUAACGGUUGACUAACUCCAAUUUCCCAACACUGAUUUCCGCGAUGCACAUUCACUGUGAAGAUUUGUAAUAAAUAUUUGUUGUUUUUAUCUCAAACGUUAUAUUUUGCGUUAAUUGACACACGCAUUAAAUUAUUCCGUAAUAACCAUAUGAUAUCCGUUGUUAAUUUAAAUGUUAUUUAUCAUUUUCGCCGCGCAUCGCAAAUUUCUCGUCUGCUUGCCGCCAUCUUGGGCGUGUGUAAAAACAGGCGUUUACAAUCGGGAUACAUCGACUAUCGUCGGUAUCCUCCGCAAUAUAGAGAGAGAUGUGGAUAGCAACGUAAAAUCGUAUUCGGCUAAAUUCGCGAAAAAUACGUAAGUCAGUUGUUGUUCGGCGACGACUCAGCAACUCGAUCGGCACUCGUUCGAAAUUAUUGCUAAAUUACAUUGUAAUCUUAUUGGCUUUAUUGGGAAAAUUUUGUCUUUUUUUGGGAAAUUUUAAUCAAAUUUUUGGGAAAAAAACGUCAUUUUUUGCUAUUGGAAAGCAGCCGAAUAUCGGCUGUAAUUUCUGGCAAAAAAAAUCACUGAUUAUAUGUAUUGAACAUCCGUGUCAUUCGCUCAAAGGUCAAGAUCAAACUCAUUUUUGGAGUAUUACAUCUGGGAUAGACUCUCACUUUAUCAUACAUAAGGCAAUUGUGAAAUAAAUUAAAACAACUGUGCAUCAUAUGCAGAUUACAUGCCCUGUACAAUACUUGCAUCCCGUGCUCAAAUGUAAAGGUCAAAUUUAGAGGUCAAAACUCAAUUGUGGUCAUGAUGAAGCUUGUCCGGUCAAUACAUUCGUUUAUCAUCUGUGAAAUUGACAAUAACUUGCCAUAAAAUGUUCCCUUAUUUGGAUGUUAAAUGUCAUGCACAACAAGUACCCCUAAUUCAAAAGGAUUGUCACAUUUAAAUAACAGCUUGAGCAGACGGUAUAAAUAUUAAAAACAGGGUAUUGCAAACAUGACUUAACCAUAAAAGGUUAUUGAACAUGUCAUCCUGGGUACCUUAGAACACAAAAUAACAAAUUAAAUUAAUACCCACAACGUGAAUCUUUACCUGAUGUAUUCAAUGUAUGUGAGGAGAAAAUAAUGGAUGAUAAUAACGCACAUCGGACCUAAGUUAAGUGUAACUUAAAUAAGAUUUCACUCAGUCGUAUACGUGUAUCUUUAUCUGAUCAACAAUAACAAAAAACAUGAACGUGUGAUAUGUUGCAAUAACUUCAUUAAUGUAUUAAUUAAAGAUCUAGUACACUUUAGAAAUUUAUGGUGCCAUUCAUAAAUUUCAUUAGGAGGCGGCCGGCGGCCGAUUUGACCGCCUCAAAUGUUAUUCAGGCCGGCUCAAAUUCGGAAAGAAAAUUAAAAAAAAAUAUUAAAAAAUCGGCAAAUUUUCACGACGAUGACGAGAUAUUUAGUAUUCGUUAAUAUACUAACUGUCUGAAACGGAAGUAAACAACCUUAACCGAUAUAUGUUAACUGCGUUCUCAUUGGUCGUAUCGAUAUAAUUGUCCAAUCGCGGAGCGGGUAAGGAGACUGUACGACUUUGAUUCAAGGUCACAAACUGUGACAAAGUCAACAAUUGAAUAUGUCAAAAAAAAAAAGAAAAAUAAACGACUUUUUCGUUUGUGUUUCGAGUAAGAACGAUAGUUCGCUGUUGAAGUUAUCUUGUUCCAGUUUUGUUAACGUUUAUCAUUUACCGGCACCUCCGAUUAAAUGCACUUUCCUGCUACACUUACAUUUCGUUUUUUAUUCGAUUUUCGACAGAUUUCGCUGAUGUUUGGUUUCUCCGCGGAGUUUUGAUCCUCCAAGCGGUUGAAAGCUAAAUGGGAGGGACUGAAAUAUCACAUCAGAGAUGGCAUGAAGCCCCAUAUUCCAGUGUCUGUGAAAUCUCCAGAGUCCAAGACGUCACCAACAGAAUGGUGUAUCCUUCAGCUAUUGAGAAACACUGCUGUGAGACAGCUUUAUCCAACCAUGAUGCACAUCAUAGAGAUUGUUGCCUCUCUUCCGGUUUCAAAUGCAUGGCCUGAAAGAGGAGCCAGCACUCUAAAGGCUCUCAAAACAAGGCUACGCAACAGACUUAGCACAACUAUGCUGGAGUCCCUGAUGCAUGUGUGCAUAAAUGGUCCUGAGCCAAACAGUCCUGAAGCCAAGCAGCAUGUCAAGUCAGCAGUCAAGUUGUGACUAGACAAGAAGGAGAGGCGGAAGAUUCCCCCAAAGCAGCAAAGGGCCUCAGCAUCAGCACCAGUUAUUACCCUUGUGAAUGCUGGGGUCCAGACUGAUGUAACUGAGGGGAAUGAUGAGCUAACAAUGAUUGAGACAGCUGUUGAUAUAGCAAUACAAAAACUUAACCUGGCAUCAAAGGAAUAUGACCCAGAAACAGAUAGUGAAUUAUCGGAUGAUGAUUGUUGUGGCAACUAGUCUAGUUGCCACAACAAUCAUCCUCGAUGAUUCGCUAUCUUAUUCUGGGUCAUAUUUUAAUCAAGCAGGGGUGGCGAAAUCAAAUGUCCGAGUUGCCCGAGUCGUACAUUUGCUUGUCCGGGCAACUGAUUUUUUUCAAUGAAGUUGUCCGUGGACAACCAGUUGGGUUGAGAAAUACAAAAACAUAGAUUGUAUUAAAGCCGUUAUUAAGUUUUACAAAACCGGAUGUUGACACCCGAUAACAUCGUCAGUGCUAUUUGCGGAGCAAUCAAGCUAAAAUAUUGGCACUCUCCUGCACAGUGGUCUCGCUUAUUCUAUAAGCAUGAUAACAGACCAGGAGGCUAGCAUGCCGCAUUUUCAACAUUCGGCCCGUCUUUUUAAUAGGCAGUGUACAGACUGGUUUGCUCGUUCAUUCCGUACCUAAAUGUUGAACGUUCGUCUUAAAUUUUAAAAUGCAUUAUUAAUACCAAAGGGGAGGUAUAAAACCCGGAAAUGUCCGGAAAACCCAGAGUGUGUCACAUUGCUCCUACCUAACUAAAUUUCUAGACUCACAAACGUCGGGACGUUGGGACGUGAAAAGCCGAAAGCCGAGUUGGAUUACGUACAGUUCCGUUGAUUGGGUGACAAGUUAUAUUAAAGUUGAACAAAGACGGUAAAAUAGUCAUUAUGUAUUAAAAACAUAUAUAUAAUGUAUAAUUUGAACAUUACAUUUCCUGGCUUAUUUCAUUUGCAAAAAAUGAAAAUUAUAUAUUGAAAUACUGUUUUAAACACCGCUUUGGUUUUAACCGAGUUGAAUAGUAGAACUCACUACAUACAAUUACGACUGACUUAUAACAUCAUGACGUAUUUUCAGGUAAGCUUAUGAAGCAAUAUUAUACAUUGAAAGCAAAAUCACACUUCUACCUGAAGUACAACUUACUCGCGUGUGCUUGAUUGGUUUUCCAAUUUUAUAAUUCAAACCCGAAACUAAAAAAGACAGGAAGAAAAUUCAUUCAAAUUUAACUGACAUGGAUGUAAAGACCGGAAUAUUAUGUUGAGAUAAAACACCAAAUAAGACGUAAACAGGAAAAAAUAGUUUUCCCUGACAAAGAAGAAAACUUGAACAAUUGAUCAUAUGAUACGACACCAUUGAACAGGAAGAAAAUUCAUUCAAAUCCAACUGACACGUAUGUAAAGACCGGAAGAUUAUGUUGAAAUAAAACACCAAAUAACACGUAAACAGGAAAAAAAUAGUUUUCCCUCACAAAGAAGAUAACUUGAACAAUUGAUAAAAUGAUACGAAACAAUUGGACGCGUCUUGCCAAUCCGAAAGCAAUGGCGUAAAUAUUGAGCGGAGAUAUUUGGUAAACAAAAUAAUUAUGUCAGCAAUAUAUUUCGGCGUUUUACUCAAAAUAUCCCGCUUAUAAAUCCGGUUGUGUACGCAAAAUAUAAACACGUGUAAUGUUUCAAGACACUUAAUUUUUAUACUUUGUUAAUCAGUGCUUGCUAGUCUUCCUAAUGCUUCAUUUCUUAUCAAUGGCGUUGAUACCAUUUUAAAAAUACUGUAGUACGUGUUAACCAUGUAACCAACAAUCCAAUACGUUAUAACAUAAUACUACUGUUCUGAAUGGUUUGAUAUAAUGCAACCUUUGUGUCAUACACGCCUCAUGAUAUUGUGAAUAACCAGGAUGACUGACCAAAAAGGUCAAAACACAAAAUGCAUUUGCAAAAUGUGAACUCCGUUAGCCUGAUGACAGGUUAUCAACAAUUAUGCUGGUUUUGCAAGUCUAUUAUUUUAAUAAAAUACUUUUAAAUACUGUUGCUCAAAAAGAUACAGGGCAACGUAUACAUACAAGUAGUAUUUAAAGACGAAUGUGCUGUUCAUGUAUAACUUGGUUUGAAUAAAUAUAAGAUAAUAAAAAUGUCAAAACAAAAGCUAAAUGGAAGAAGUUCAGGAUUUAUUUCGUUAUUUUAUUUAAAAACUUGUACUUUCGUAGUAAUGGCAGUCAACACAGUUUUGAAAUUAACCUGGAGAUAUGGUAUGUGUUUGUCUUGUGUUAAACUUAUUUCAUUUACAACUUAUUUUAUUUGUUGUUUUUAAACGUGUAUUCAAAAACAAACCAUGCAAAAUACGAAAUUUGAUAUUGAUCAAGUGUUACAUUAAUAGUUGUAAUUGAAUAGGUUAAUAACAUUUAAAUGAUGUGUCAAUAUUAUAUUCAUGUUAUUAUCAAAAUAUGCUAUGACGUAACGUCAAAAAGUCCGUCCAUCAAGAAAAUUGCGCAUGUGAUGUACAUGUUUUCUUAAUAAAAUUUCAUAUUACGUUUAGCAAAUUAUGCUGAUGAAUGUACGCUGUUUAAAAAUUGUGCAUUAUGGAUGAACUAGCAGAUUCGAGUCAAAUAUCAAUUAUAAAUAACGUUAAUAUCAAGUUGCAUCUGCAGGAAGUUAUUGUAUCGUCAAAACAAAGCCGGUCAUUUUAGGCAUGUGGCCAAUUGCAAUUUUAUUAGACACAAGACAAAAACACGACACACACUGGGGUCACCGCAUAAACAUGGCCAAUAGCAAAGCAACGCAUAGCCUGAGGUUAAGAGCCGGUUUAAGGGCGGCGAAACAUUACACUUUGCCAAAAGAAAAAAAAACCUUCAAAAGCAAAACACUAAUUAACCUAAUUGCAUGACAAUUUCAAUCAAACUACAAUAAAAGAGAAUACGCUUAAUUUGAUUAAACUAUUCAACUACUCAAUGGUUGUAUGUUCACCAGAGCAACAUAACUGUAACUUUCUAAGGCACAAUGAAAUGAAACAAAAACAACGUCGCAUGUUUUUAAUAAAAUAAUAAGUUAACUCCAGAAAUAAGAUCAUGAGGGAAAAUGGUCAAACCACCCGCUGUCUUUUCCUUAUUGCUCUCACGACAACAAAAGCCACCAUAUAUACUAUUCACCCUCAAUAUAAUAUAUAAAUAUAUAUAAAUCAAAAUCAUUCGUAGGCACUUAUCAGGAUCCUCUUUGCACGUACCAUUAUAAUUAAUAUCGAAUUAAUAAAACUGUUUCCUCUAAACCACUUUUACCUUUUCCGGGUUUUCCAUUAGGCAUUUUUUGUGUGCGAAAAAAACCUAAAAGUAGACCGACUUUGAUCGCGAUUUACAGACCGAUCCCGACCCUGCCAUACAAUAUGAUUACAUCGUUAGAAGCUUUGGAGGCUCCUUUUUCCAACGGUACCAUUAUAAUUCAUAUCGGACGAAUAAUAAAGCAUUUAUAAUCAUUUUUACCUUUUCCGGGUUUUACCUAAAAGAUUUCCGGGUUUUAUACCUUCCCAUACCAAAUGUUGGCUAAAUUCUAGCAUCAUUUUUUUCUCAUGUUAUCCAUACAAAUUCGAGCAUUGCCGGAUGGUUACGUUGCAUAUGGAAAUGGCUGUCAUUAAAAUUCAGAAGUGUUUGUCGGAUUACACGUUUACUUAUGCUCAUUUGAGAAUAAAACAAAACGUUUACAGUUGUGUGUAAUUAAUUUAACGAGUCUUUGUUAAAACGCUUAACGUGAUGGAAAAAUGUUUUGACAAUAUUACGCAUGAAAUGCACAAUUUCCACGAGGAUAACACCGUUGCCAUCAUCAGUUUUCUAAGAAACUGGCCACUAUUUUAUCUGAUUAGAAUGGUACAUGUGUAGGUAUAACAAUAAAUGCGUUAAUAAUUUAUAUAAACAUUAAGUUUAACGGACAAGUGUAGUUCAGCAACGGACAAGUUAAAUUUCCUAAAUUGUUGUCCGUGGACAAGUAUAGUUUUCGCCACCCCUGUCAAGUCUAGAUUAGAAUCAUCUUAAACCUUUUUUUAUUCUGGAAAAUUUACUAUUAAAAGUCAAAUUGGUGUAACAUGUUUUAAUGUUGUUUUUUUAUACAAGUAUAUCUGUUAUUAUCAAAAUCUUGAUAAUUGCAGAGACUUUCAUUAUCUCUCAAUAUUCUCAUUUGGUAUUUUAAUUUGUGCUAGUGCUUAGCAUGUACACUUCUUUUUAUCAGAUUAUUAUUAAUUAAGUCAUGUUCAUGUACUCAUUUGUUAAUGUCAGUUAAAGUGACAGACAUAUACUAAUCUUAUAUCAGACUGUAAUUUAUGAAGUAAUAUACUCGUUUGGUAAUUUCAUUUUAAAUUAUGACCAGCACUUCAAAUGAAAUUACCAAACGAGUAAUGAUAAACUCUUGUUAAAAUGUUAUUGACAUUGAGAUUGUUCUUUGUCAGUCUGACAGGUCAAUUUUUGAAACUGUUUUAAUGAUCUCAUGUGCUAAGAGUUAACACUGUAAUUGUACUGUUUUAUUGUGUACUCUUAACACAGUAUUACUUAUAAAUGUUCAGAUAUUUGCUCAUAAAAUGCUUCAGUAUUAUUGUUUUAAUUAUUGUGAUGUUUAUCAGACUUUAUUUUUCUUAAGGUUACUUACUCCUUUGGUAAUAUUAUUUGAAUUGCUAGUCACAUACUCUUGGUAAAAUGGGAUCGUGUUAAGUAGAGGUUAAUUAUAUUGAAUGUUAUUGUUUGACAGGUGAUAAAGAUGUUUACAGUUUGCACUGUUUCUCCUUAUUGGCAAUAACUAC